GGCUGAGUAACACGUGGAGAACCUGCCCCCUCCCCCGGGAUAGCCGCCCGAAAGGACGGGUAAUACCGGAUACCCCGGGGUGCCGCAUGGCACCCCGGCUAAAGCCCCGACGGGAGGGGAUGGCUCCGCGGCCCAUCAGGUAGACGGCGGGGUGACGGCCCACCGUGCCGACAACGGGUAGCCGGGUUGAGAGACCGACCGGCCAGAUUGGGACUGAGACACGGCCCAGACUCCUACGGGAGGCAGCAGUGGGGAAUCUUGCGCAAUGGGGGGAACCCUGACGCAGCGACGCCGCGUGCGGGACGGAGGCCUUCGGGUCGUAAACCGCUUUCAGCAGGGAAGAGUCAAGACUGUACCUGCAGAAGAAGCCCCGGCUAACUACGUGCCAGCAGCCGCGGUAAUACGUAGGGGGCGAGCGUUAUCCGGAUUCAUUGGGCGUAAAGCGCGCGUAGGCGGCCCGGCAGGCCGGGGGUCGAAGCGGGGGGCUCAACCCCCCGAAGCCCCCGGAACCUCCGCGGCUUGGGUCCGGUAGGGGAGGGUGGAACACCCGGUGUAGCGGUGGAAUGCGCAGAUAUCGGGUGGAACACCGGUGGCGAAGGCGGCCCUCUGGGCCGAGACCGACGCUGAGGCGCGAAAGCUGGGGGAGCGAACAGGAUUAGAUACCCUGGUAGUCCCAGCCGUAAACGAUGGACGCCAGGUGUGGGGGGACG
rnacentral:rRNA from 1 species